GACGAACGCUGGCGGCAGGCCUAACACAUGCAAGUCAAACGGCCCUUCGGGGCAGUGGCGCACGGGUGCGUAACGCGUGGGAAUGUACACCUUGGUAAGGAAUAACUGCUGGAAACGGUAGCUAAUACCUUAUAAUGACUCCGGUCCAAAGAUUUAUCGCCAAGGGAUCAGCCCGCGUCAGAUUAGAUAGUUGGUGGGGUAAUGGCCUACCAAGUCUACGAUCUGUAGGGGGUCUGAGAGGAUGAUCCCCCACACUGGUACUGAGACACGGACCAGACUCCUACGGGAGGCAGCAGUGAGGAAUAUUAGACAAUGGGCGAAAGCCUGAUCUAGCCAUGCCGCGUGAGUGAAGAAGGCCUUAGGGUUGUAAAGCUCUUUCAAUAGUGAAGAUAAUGACGGUAGCUAUAGAAGAAGCUCCGGCUAAAUUCGUGCCAGCAGCCGCGGUAAAAGUCGUACGAU
rnacentral:rRNA from 1 species